UCGGCAACGGAUAUCUCGGCUCUUACAACGAUGAAGAACGUAGCGAAAUGCGAUACUUGGUGUGAAUUGCAGAAUCCCGUGAACCAUCGAGUCUUUGAACGCAAGUUGCGCCCGAAUCCAUCCGGUCGAGGGCACGUCUGCCUGGGUGUCACGUACAYACGGCUCCACUACCCCCCUCUCCUUUAAGGUUUGAUGGGACUUGUGCGAGCAGAGAUUGGUCUCCCGUGCUUU
rnacentral:rRNA from 1 species